rnacentral:lncRNA from 1 species
CAUCAAUUUACGUUUACAAAAGAGUUUUUAAAAUACAAUCUCAUCUACUAACUACUACAAAACUACUGGAAAGAAACCUGACGGUUAAGCAGUCAAUUUACAAGUGAUUUGGAUUUCCUCACAAUUUACUGAACAAAGAAGAAAAUCUAAGAUAUAAAAAGGGUUUUCUACAGAAAUGAAUAAUAAACUGAAUUAAGAGAAUUGGAUUCCAGUUCUAGCUUCGUAACUACCUUGAGCAAGACACUGAAUUCAUGUGAACUUGAAGGCGCUUAUCCGUAAAAUGAUGAUCUUGGAGCAUCCAAGAAGUCCUUUCCGACUGUGUCACAGAUUCAAAGCUCUUCGUUCCCUGAAGUCCUGCUACUGUGACUUGGAACUCUCUGUUUCUAUGGUGUGCAGCACUCAGCACAAGUUUGUUGAAUGAACAAAUGAUCAAAUGACAUUUGCCCUUCCCUGCCUGACAUUCCAGUCACAUUCUUCCAUAACUUUGC